GGGGGCGAACUGAUUCGACUGGAACGGAAGUAACGGAUUGGAGCAUGCCGAGUUCGGGGAAGGGCUCGUUAAAAUCCCCAAAAACAAACUGCCAAUACGGCAAACUAUCUGGCGGCAUAAGCCAGACUCCCCUCUGACUGCCUGUAGUUAGAGAGCGGAGCGGAUAGCAGGCUGGCUCCUUUAUUCCGCCUUAAGAUAAAGGAGUAAGAAACCUUGAGGCUACGGCCGGUUCAUCCAUUUCCCGAGAGGGCCCGGCAGGAAGACAAAACGGGGAAAAAGCAUGUAGCGCCAACCGUUCUUUAUUUCAGGACCGGAGCUCACUACUCCGCGCCUCCACCA
rnacentral:tmRNA from 1 species